AUUGAACGCUGGCGGAAGGCCUAACACAUGCAAGUCGAACGAGUGGCGGACGUGUGAGUAAUGUCUGGGAAACUGCCUGAUGGAGGGGGAUAACUACUGGAAACGGUAGCUAAUCCCGCAUACCCUGUGAUGUGCCCAGAUGGGAUUAGCUAGUAGGUGGGGUAACGGCUCACCUAGGCGCCGAUCCCUAGGUGGUCUGAGAGGAUGACCAGCCACACUGGAACGGAGACACGGUCCAGACUCCUACGGGAGGCAGCAGUGGGGAAUAUUGCACAAUGGGCGCAAGCCUGAUGCAGCCAUGCCGCGUGUAUGAAGAAGGCCUUCGGGUUGUAAAGUACUUUCAGCGGGGAGGCGUUACCCGCAGAAGAAGCACCGGCUAACUCCGUGCCAGCCGCCGCGGUAAUUC
rnacentral:rRNA from 1 species